GCCUGGGUAGCUCAAAUCGUAGAACAUCAGACUUUUAAUCUGAGAGUCCAGGGUUCAAGUCCCUGUUCAGGCA